rnacentral:rRNA from 1 species
CGACCGGCGCACGGGUGAGUAACACGUAUGCAACCUGGCCGCCACAGGGGGAUAACCCGCGGAAACGCGGCCUAAUACCCCGUGACGCCACCGGAGGGCAUCCUCCGGUGGCCAAAGGAGCGAUCCGGUGGCGGAUGGGCAUGCGGCGCAUUAGCUAGACGGCAGGGUGACGGCCCACCGUGGCGACGAUGCGUAGGGGUUCUGAGAGGAAGGCCCCCCACACUGGGACUGAGACACGGCCCAGACUCCUACGGGAGGCAGCAG